rnacentral:rRNA from 1 species
UAGGGAAUCUUCCACAAUGGACGCAAGUCUGAUGGAGCAACGCCGCGUGAGUGAAGAAGGUCUUCGGAUCGUAAAGCUCUGUUGUUGGUGAAGAAGGAUAGAGGCAGUAACUGGUCUUUAUUUGACGGUAAUCAACCAGAAAGUCACGGGCUAACUACGUGCCAGCAGCCGCGGUAAUACGUAGGUGGCAAGCGUUGUCCGGAUUUAUUGGGCGUAAAGCGAGCGCAGGCGGAAUGAUAAGUCUGAUGUGAAAGCCCACGGCUCAACCGUGGAACUGCAUCGGAAACUGUCAUUCUUGAGUGCAGAAGAGGAGAGUGGAACUCCAUGUGUAGCGGUGGAAUGCGUAGAUAUAUGGAAGAACACCAGUGGCGAAGGCGGCUCUCUGGUCUGCAACUGACGCUGAGGCUCGAAAGCAUGGGUAGCG